rnacentral:rRNA from 1 species
GUAGGGAAUCUUGCGCAAUGGGCGAAAGCCUGACGCAGCCAUGCCGCGUGAAUGAUGAAGGUCUUAGGAUUGUAAAAUUCUUUCACCGGGGACGAUAAUGACGGUACCCGGAGAAGAAGCUCCGGCUAACUUCGUGCCAGCAGCCGCGGUAAUACGAAGGGGGCUAGCGUUGCUCGGAAUUACUGGGCGUAAAGGGCGCGUAGGCGGACAGCUUAGUCAGAGGUGAAAGCCCAGGGCUCAACCUUGGAAUUGCCUUUGAUACUGGCUGUCUUGAGUGUGGGAGAGGUGAGUGGAACUCCGAGUGUAGAGGUGAAAUUCGUAGAUAUUCGGAAGAACACCAGUGGCGAAGGCGACUCACUGGCCCAAUACUGACGCUGAGGCGCGAAAGCGUGGGGAGCAAACAGGAUUAGAAACCCCGGUAGUCC